GCAUGAGGAUUUCAAAGCUCACCCAACACCAGGAGAGAAAAUACAUUGCGUCUGUGUGGUUUUCGACUGUGUAACUACUUCGAAAGGAUUAUCUGCAAAAAUGACAAAAACGAUGCAGAAUGUGCUGCAAGUCGUUACUAAAGAAGAAAUUCCGUUCAUAGUUAUUUUGACAAAGUGCGAUGCAGUGGGCGAAAUGGUCAAGGCAAACAAGCGUCGAGUUUUUGAAGACAAAAGAGUAAAGGAAUGUAAGCACAUACUCAUGGAAACGUUUAGAUUAAAGCAGAAAAAGAUAUUUCCAGUUGUGAAUUACAUACAAGAAAAUGCAGUGGAUCUCCAAGCCGAUGCUCUGUUACUGGCUGUAUUCAACGAAGUUUUGAAGAUUGGGAAAAGAAAAUUAGAGGAACUAGAAGAGGAAGGAGAUGGCCGAUAAAUUGCAUAUAAAAUUGUAUACGUUUGGUGAGAACUAUCAGAUCUCAUAGUCAGAUUUCAUACUAGUUAAUAUGUUACAAUUCUAGACACUAUGGCAAUACAACAGCGAUGUUAGAGCAUUCACGGCAAACUACUAGUAAUACACAGAACAUGUAAUUUAAACGUUCUUACUGAAUUUAUUAUGCCAAAUUGUUUUCAUAGAUACAACAUCUAAAAUGCAUCAGGCAUACAAAUGACAAAAAAAAAUAAAACACAUUUAUAUAUUUGUUGACAGUAGCAGUCACAUGUGUCCACUGUCAAGACUGACUGAUUUUUCUGACCAAUGAAGAUUUGAAUGCAACCCUAAAUAUAAACAUCAUUAUAAGACAUACAGUGUGUGAACACAAACCUCCAUGUACAGCAUAUAAAACCAUGAAGCAGUGUUUUGUUAUCUGUAUACGUCAAAAAUACGUGUGUUGCAGUAGCCUCAUAUGUAUGUACAGGUAAACAUGGCAAUAUAUAAUUUAGAUAAGUUUUUAGAGAAGAUAGUUGUCUGAAAGUCAUUAAGUCGUUAAGUUUUACUCAUUUUAUAUUUGCGAGUCAAAAUCACGAAUCUGUUUAAGAGAACAUAUUUUUACAUAACACAUAUAUAGUGUAUAAAAAGAAAUCUAGAAUAAGACUUUAAAACGUAAGUGACAAUCUCUGUAUGUCGAAUUUGGCGUAGAGAUAUAAGAUAUUUCAAAAUACGUCUAAAACAGUGGUGUUGUAUGCCCCCAAAUGUGGGCAUAUUAAAAUCGCACUGUCCGUCUGUGUGUGCGUCCGUGCGUCUCGUAUCUGUGUAUGUUCUUGUCUGGGCUAAAGAUAUGCUAUUCUUGGAGAGAUUUUGAAAUAAUUUGGCUUAAAUGUUCACCACACUGAUAUAACGUGUCAUGCGCGAGACCCAGUUCCAAGGUCAAGGUCACACUUAGAGGUAAAAGCUUAAAGGGGUCUGUUUCUAGUCUGGUCCAUAACUCUGCAAUCCAUAAAUGAAUUUAUAAAUGACUUGGCAUAUUUGUUUACCAUAAUGAGACGCUGUGUUUUGCGUAAAACGCAGACACUAAUCUUCAAGGUCAAUGUCACACUUAGAAGUCAAAGGUUAACAGGGUCUGUUUCAUGUCCGGCAUAAAUGGUUCUAAUAUUAAGACGAUGAGUGAUGCGCAAGUUCCAGACCCUUAAAGAUAAGAUCAAGGUCACACUUAGAGGUUAAAGAUUAGCAUGGUCUGUUUCUUAUCUUGUGCGCACAACUCUGUCAUUAAAUGAAGAAACUACUUGCCAUAAAUGUUCCCUAUAAUGAGAUGACGUUUCAUGCACAAGACCCAUACCUAUACCUCAAAGGUCAAGCUCACACUUAUAAGUCAAACGUUAACAUGGUCUGUUUUUUUUGUCUGAUUCGUAACUCUGCAAUUUAUCGGAUAAUUUGGAAAUAAUUUGAAACCAAUGUUAAGUAUACUAAUGUGUAUGGCGCUUAUAAGUCGGGUCUUAAAGGCCAAGGUAAAGGUCAAAAAAUGGUUUGUACAAAAACUAUUCUGGCAUAUUUUUCGCUGACAACUGCAGCGUAUCUGGGCACGCUUUGGAGGCAUUUGUCACUUAUAGUGACUGCUUUUGUUUUCAGUUGUUUUACGAUGCGCCCUCUUAAUAUAAUCCUUUCGCACUGACAAUGACUUUUGUAACAAAAUACUGUUUCAGACAGAUUAUUCCAUAAAAACAAAUACACGAUUUUUAUUACGUUUUACAUUUUAGUCGUAAAACGUGUUUUCUUAAAUACAUAACCGUACCAGUAUUUUUUGAUAGACUGCAUGUUUUAGCGUUUACUGGUAAGUCUUUUAUUUUUGUAUCUAGUUUCUUAAACAUUCCUCACAUGAAACCCGGUAUAGUAUAGGACCAAACGACAAAUUUUUCAAUAUUGAGUAUAUGUGUACCUCCAUAACAUACAUAUAAAUUUUGUUUCAGCGUAUAGGAUUGACCAUUAUUUAUGAAAAAUGUCAUUAUAAUAAUAACAUCUUGCAAAACUCAGAAAUCAAAGAUGGCGGCAAUUAAAGAUAUCCGCCAAAAUUUUGAAAACUAUUCCUUACAUAUACAACACAUCCAAUAAAUGUAAAUUAAACAUUACUGCUGUUAAACACAAAACUAACAAACAAACAUUAUAAAAAAAUUUCAAAGUUCCUUGCUACUUCAGAUCUCCUAAAAAGACGUUUUUCUUGACUGUUUCUCAUAUUUUCUGAAAUACAUUCCUCUCAUGAAAAAUGUCUAAAAUCCAACAUUUUGGGGCCAUAUAAUUCUUUUGUUCUGUUUUAUUUUUCUUACCUCCCAAAUGUCUUCGAAAUCAUCUUAUAUAUAGUAUUAUUAUUAAAUAGAUUAUCAUCUAGUCUUAUUGGUUAGAUUUUGCCAGACUAGUUCAUUUCAACGACUUGUUCAAUGGUGGGUGGUAAAGUAAUUUCAUCAUCACGAAAAUGAGUGUUCAUGAGCAAUGAUAACUUAAAAACAAUCAUUGUUCAUCAUAUCAUAUGGAACAAAAACGCAAAGUUCAGACAAAAGCUAAGAGUAGCCUGGCUUUGAACACACAGCGCUUUAAUAUACCUGUAAAUUGAGUGAACAGAAGUUGUCAAUCGCACUUUAUAGUAACUUUAAUAUUUCAUUUUUAAACCUAAUUAUCAACCACAGUAUUAGAGUGGAGACGCCGUUUUGUCAUUAAACCAGGUUAUUUAGUUUUGUCUAUACAAAGGAAACGUUCAAGACAUAAAAUUUGACAAAGAUUUUCCGUAACCGUCCUGUUAAAUUGUCAGGUUAUGUACAUGAAUUUGAAUUUGAGGGUAGUUAUUUCGAUCACCGGAUGCGUAGAUUUGUAUAAAGGUACACAGGUUGAUAGUACAGUAGAAUGACGUCUGUCAGUGAAAUUGUUUACGCAUUAGUACAGGUCCUUUCCAGGGGGUCGAACGUAUUUGGGUUUGUUGAAAUUUUAAGCGUGAGCAAAAGGUAUGUUAACACAAAAUGGCCGAAAUAUGUGAAAGUGAAAGUAGGUUAUUACACAUUUUACCUUUUCUAUCUUAACCUUGCUAGUUUAAAGAACAAACUCGUCUGUGCAUCGUGUGGCAUCUACAUUGGAGAGUAUGCAACAAGUAUAACAACGCGUGAUGAAGCGUGUUAAAAAAAAGUUAUAGAAUGCGUAAGUCUUUGUGUUUGUAAAAGACGCGUGAACAUGUCAUCUGAAAUCAUGAAAUUUUACCGUUAAAUGACACAUAAGAAUUAUUAUUUUAGUGAAGAAAUGCUGCAAACAUGCUAUAUGACAAAAUGAAUCGCAAAAGUCUGACACUCAGGUGUGGACUAUAUCAAGAAAACGCAUACACAAAUUGUAAGUACGUUCUUUGGUUACAAAACAUAAAUGUACGCAUAAAAUAUGGUUUGUUGAAGCAGAUAAGGUGUGAAUGAGUUGUAGGAAUGAUCAGCAAAUAAUUUCCAAUUCAGUACAUUUCUGAUAAUAUCGUUUACCGUUUGCAAAACUGAUGCAGAAUUUAUACAAAGCAAACUAGAACCCAUACUUUUUCGUCUAUCUCUGAUCCAUGCGGAGGAGAUGUUAACAGUUAUGUGCAGAGAAAAAGAAGUACAGAAUCAAAGAACACUGGCUAGAUUAUCAGCCCGCGAAACUGUUGCAUAUAUUUAUAUACGUAUAUAUACCAGUCGGACUGCAUUCAUAUCUAUUCCUUAUAUUUAUGUCCACACACUCGGUGGUAUUUUCAAACUAAUUCUUUUUGGCGGCCUCGUGAAAUUAUUACGCCCGGCUUAUAACCAGCCAUUGUGUAAAAUAGUGUUCAAACACUGUUUUGUUAUAAAUUAUUUCUUAAAUACAUUUGAUUAGGAUUUUCAACAUGGCAAAUGGCCACUGAUUUGAUAAACAUUUGCUGAAAUUAAUUUUUUUUACUUAAUUAAUUGUUUUCAUGGAUGACUAGUGAGUAGAUCUAUAUUGAGUAUCUUUUUCUUUUUGCAGUUUCUUGCAUUUAUUUUCAUACUUUUAUUAAAUAUUAUUUAAUUGUUUACAUUCAUUUCGCUAUUUCCCCUUUAGUAGCUGUACUAUUCGGCUAAUAAAGGUGUUAUUCUACUCGCCCCGUGCUUUUUUGGUUAAUAUUUUUCGGAAACUUGUGUUCUUCUUCGGUACAAUUUUUAAUAUCUUAUUGUAACUUCACUAUAACAUUGUUUAGCAUGCAAACAAACUUUAUGAAGGUGAAGCUGGUCAUUUCAUUUCCGUUGACCUAUCAAGUAAAGCGUGAGUAUAGAUUUGUUUCUUGUAACGUGGAAUAUUUGAACUGAAAAUAAAAACAUACAAAGUAAGUCACAAAUAAAGUAAAGGCCAAACUAAAACAGAAUGGAAUACAUGUAGCGAAGGAACAUAACAGAAGCUGUCCCAAUAUAAAUUGACUGUGUUAUGAAUCAAAUUAUAUGUUUCGGAAUCCCAUGUGUCUCAACAAAUAUAUAUUCUCGAUACGAAACAUAACGAAUAAAUGCACCACAUUUUCAGGGCGAUGCGGCUGCUUAAUGUAUCUAUGACUAAUAAAAUAAGGUCAUACGCUUCCAUUUGGGUAUAACAUAAUGUAAAUUGUAAAAAUAAAAAAAAAAAUACCUGACGAAAAUAUAUUUAAAAUGAUGGAUGUUUCAAUACAUUUUUCGUUGGCGAGAAAGCGAAAGCUGUUAGUUUACACUCAAUAACUUUUUAUAUACGUCAUAGUUCUUACUUAUAGAAACGUCAUUACACAGCUGAAACAUUUGAGCUCUCGAUGCACAGUUUAAAUAAGCAUAAUAAUGUUGAAAUAAGAUCUUAUUUUUAAGGAAAUACUGACCUUGUAUCUUGUUUACGCGACUAUAUCCGCCGUUUUGUGUUAACAUACCUUUUGCUCUCGCUUCAAAUUCCAACGUACCCAGAUACUUUUGACCCCCUGCUUUCGUGGCGUUUGUCACAGUCACAUGCAGGAAGGGUUUUAUUAUUCUUUCUACUAAUCAUGUUUAUGAUGUUUCUGAUACAGGAAGAAAGGGUCAAUCAAUCAUGUUAACUUAUCUAAAACAAUCGCUGAAGCAAAACCAUGUUUCGUUUGCAAAAAUAUACGCCUUUCAGUGUGUUAUGACUUAAUACACAUAGUUGUAUGCGAACAUUUAUGAGAGAAAUCACUAUGUAGUUAAAGUUAGAGACGGACCUGUAAAUAUUAGUCUUAUACCAUUUAAAGUUAUUUUAUUACAUUAAAUUUUGGCAAUUUGUAAAGCCAGUAACUAUCAAUUAAUAUGAGAUCAUAAUUUACUUAACUAUUUCAAUUUUUUAGAAGUCGAUAAUUAUGUAUAAAAUGCAUUUAAUUAUUAUACUAAAUUUAGUAUUAAAUGAAAUAAAAUGAAAGUUAAACAUAUUAAAAGUGAUGAUACGUUCCCAGCAAACAAAAGACGUCUGGAAUACGUCUUUAUUUGGUUGUUUCGUGGUCGCGACGUCUGUGACCAGAAAAAGACGUCUCUAUUUGGUUGUUUCUCGGUCGCGACGUCUGUGACCAAAAAACGAAGUGUUUUUCACGUCGUUCUGCAUGCAAAAAAGACGUCUUUUAAAAGACGUUUUUAUUCCGUCAUAAAGACGUUUUUGCAAAAACAGAAUUCAACUUUUAUUCUUCUUAGGUGCAAUGAUAAUACAGCACAAUUUGUUUGAAAACAAUAACGAAAAUCUGUUAUCAGAAAUGAAAUACGACCGUUGUUAACAUUUUCAAAGAGAGGCAACUAUACACAAGCCCUGUACAUAACGAUAUACCUCCCAUGCCUUAAAUCAAUUCCAACUAGGUGCGGGCCAAUCAAAAUCCAGCAUACCACGUGUUUACAUGUAGAUCGCAAUUUUAAUCGGAAAACGAGGAAAUUUAAGCCAGGCGAAUUGUGAUAUAUCGAGUUAUUUAAAAAGUUAAAUGACAGAAGAGCAGCCAAGUACCGGCAAGCCAUAUUUACAUUUAUCAACGUUUGGUGCUGAAAUGAAUAUUUAGUUGAUAUGUAUCUUUUUAAAUGUUUUAUGGGGAGUUUCUGAAGUCGUCACUAAAAGACGUGAAAAAGACGUCUCUAAAAGACGUGAACGCACCUUUCAAAAACAACCGGAAAAAGACGAGAAAAAGACGUCACCAAAAGACGUGAAAAAGACGUCUCUAAAAGACGUGAACGCACCUUUCAAAAACAACCAAAAAAGACGUCAUAAAGACGUCUCGGAAAGACGUCAUAACAACCAAAAAAAGACGUCUUUUGUUUGCUGGGUUUAAUUGAUGGAUAUGUGACGUUAUAAGGGACUCUUUCCAUGCUAAAUGAAUCCACAUAUGUCUUAAAAAAUCCCCCAGAAAAUAAACAAAAAUAUAUUAUAGUUUUGUUUUGUACUUAAAACAGUUUUUAAGGAAUAAUUAUGUAAUCUGUACAAACGUUUUCUUUUCCAAGACAUCAGUUGGUAUACCUUAUUUCCCUUCUUUGUAAUGUUCUGCCAGUAUAUGAAAAACCGACAGCUUUGCAGUGCAGUGUUUGAAAGUACGUAUUACUUACAAAGACAAUAAUCUAUUAAAGUAACUUUCCAUGAAAUUGCAUGCAAUCUUAUUAUUUAGCUAUAUAAUCCUUAUGGUUUCAGACUAGGCAAAUAGCAAUUAUUUUAUUCAAAUUCCAUUUUGUUACUUUGUAAUCCCUUAUUUUCCUCGGAGUACCGAAAUCUAUUUUUAGAACGUAAACUUGAAAGUACUAGCUGUCGCUUUCAUUUUUAGUUUUGGAUUUUUCAGACUGUCCCAUUUAUUAAAUAAGGGUUUGAAAUAUAUUUUAAGAACAAUGAUAAAUGUGAAUCUUCAAAGUCACGCAAGGCACUGAAGUGUGCCAUUAGGAAUAAGAUAUACUUUCCUAAUUCUAUUUAUCGUUCGUUUGUAGAGAGAGUUGAGUGCCAUUUUCCUUACCAAACUGAGUGUGGCUAUUUUCUCAAUGAGGCAGAGUAUGUAAUAUGCAAAGGAUAAAACAAUUUUAUCCUCGUGAAAUUCGUGCACUCCCGUGCAAGUACACACCAUGCUGAAUAAUUCACAAUCAAGAAGAUAUUUGAAAACCUAUGUUAUAUGCAAAAAGAGCAAAAUGAUGCUAGUAAUUCAAUUCAAAUACAUAUUAACAUUAUCAUCAUUUCAAAGUGUACGUUAGCAAAAUAUAAAACGAAAAAAAUAUAAAAUAAAAAAAUAUUGA